AGGAUUUUUCUUUGAUUCUGUUCUCUCUUUCUGUUUCCAAAUUAUUUUUAAAACCUAAAUUUUUCAGCCAUAAUGCUUUUAAUUUGCUAGUGUGGACCUAAAUCUGGUCCAACUUUAAAGCUGUAUGAUCACAAUCUCUGAACUCUUUCCAGACUGUAUAGUAACUAUAUGACUGAUGGUAGAGAGUGGCAAGAGGGCAGGAGACUACAAGGCUGGACUGCUACCCAAUCCUUGGAGUUCUAUGUUCCCAAAUGAGAUGUUAUCAGACCAAAAUACUAACAAGGAAGUAAAGUAGCCAUGAGCUAGGGAGAGGAGGUUGGUGAACUCUCCAGGGACUGAAUGCAAGAGAGCUCCUGCUGUGGACAGUGAGGUGCUAAGAGAACCCUGCCCUUAUGUGGGGUAACAGGAGAAGCAAUGGAGUCAUUCACCUCUGAAGAUCUUACCAUGGGAUUGACUCUACUUUCUGGAGCACAGCUACCUUCACUAGAGCUUUUAGGAAAAUAUUUUAACCGUCAUUCACCUUUUGGACCCUCGUCAUGUUAGUGAGAAAAGAAAUGCCAUCUUUUCGACUGAAGAACUCAUGCUUAAUGACACCUCAAUAAUGCAAAGUUCAAGAACAACUAUAGAAUGCACUGUAGUUUUGCAUCCUGAGAUAAGGAGGGACUGUCUGGAACAGCCCAGGUUCUGUUCCAGUCCCCCCUAGAAACACAAUGUGCUUUCGUGUUCUAUCCCAGAGAAUGGCACCGCUCCAGGCUAUAAAACGCAAGGUCAGCUGGGAAGAAUCUGCUUGCAGGUCUGGGGUCCUUUCUGCUCCUUGUGUCUCUUGUUGGAAGGUCAGAGGUUACCAAUGGCAUGUUUAAAGCUUUGGUUAGAUGAUCCUGGACACAUGCUUAGAAGCUGGGACCAGAAUCUGAACUCCAGUCAGCCAUGUGAGAUCCAGAUUCCUCUGUAUAGCACCUAACUGCUGUACCACAGGGCUGGUCCUAUAAUAUAUGUCUAUAUU